GCCCCGGUAGCUCAAUGGAUAGAGCAAUGGCCUUCUAAGCCAUUGAUCUAGGUUCGAUUCCUAGUCGGGGUACCA
rnacentral:tRNA from 1 species